UCCCUUUCUGCGGCCGCCCCGAACUCUUCCGUCACCGUUCCAAUCCGAAGGCUCUUCCUCCGCGUUUCUUCUCCUCUCCGCUCUCUCUCUCUCUCUCUUUCACUUCUUAUUAGGUUUAGGGCUUCUUUCCCCGUCUCUCUCUCUCUCUCUCUCCAUCUCUCUCCCUCUCGCUCCUUUCAAACAAUCUCCUAAGCGCCUUCCGUAUCUCUGCGUAAUUUGCCGCGCCUGAUCUUGUCGCUCUCGUUUUUUCCUCGGUUCGAUCAGGGUUUCUAUCCGUUUAUAGGGUUCUAUAGGGUCCUUGAGAAGGAGAGACCAGCUGAUUCUGAUCGUUUAAUUUUGUCGACAGAGUGGUUGAUUUAGAAGGGUUUGUUGGUGUAGAUGCCUCGGACGUUGUCUCGGUCUCCCUCCCACCGGAGAAGGCGGUCUCCGUCUCCGCGGUACAGCAGCAGGAGAAGCAGAAGAGAUCGCAGCCGAUCUCCUUAUUCUUAUAGGUGAUAUUGCUUGUCAAAAACUUGGCCAUUUAUUUUCUUUUCUACCUCAAACUUCAUUUGUAGAUUUAUUCUUUAUAUGCAAGGUCUAAUAAAUCAUGGCUUGGGAGAUCCCUCAACUCGUCCCUCUUUUGUAAUUUCAUAUUGUAGUGGGCUGAAGAAUCAAGUGGAACCAAAGUCUGUUUCAUCUUCGUAAGAGACUGGUAGAUUGUUGGGGUCGCAUUUCCAAAUUCACUUUCUCAAUUUCUUUGAGUUAGGAAUUUGGGAAUGAACUUCGUUAAUUUUGUUGUUGUUACUGAAUUGGCGAACUCCACAUUUUUAGUUCUAAACAUAGAAAGGAAAAGAUUACUACUGAUUUUUUUUUUUAUUUUUAUUUUUUUGUUUCUUUGCCUAAUAAAACCAUACGAAAUUAAAGAGGACCAUCGGAAGGUCUUGAAAUCAAAGAACUAGAUUAGAAAACUAAAACAUAAAAUGUAAAUAAGGAAGGCAUUCAAUCGAUCUAUUAAGAAAAGUAAAUCUUUGGUUCAUUUAGACACUCAUAUGUGUGUAGCCUUUGAAAAGAAUGUUUAUAUGAUGAGGAUAAGAAGAGCAUGGAAAAACAAAGAAUUUUUUACAAAUGAGGAUUAGAUAUCUCUUGAAUAAUUAAUAGUGGCCAAGAGGUUAGGCAUCUUGUUGUUUAUUUAGAUUUUUUCCCCCCCUUAGAACUAGGCUUCUUAUAUGUUGCAACUGCUUAUGAUUUAGACAAUUGAGACUGUAUUUGUUUAAACUUUUAGAAAGUUAUUAUUUUUAGAUAUGUUUAUUGCUUGCCUAAGCCAUUAGGUGUUUUACCUCAUGAUUUAACUUUUCUGAAGUUAGCUCUAGAUAUGUUUUUUGCUUGUCUAAGUCAUUGAGAAGUUUGCCUAAAUGCCUAGGUGGUUAGGGGGUCCGUGUACCUGCAGACCGUGCCAACUAGUUGAUUGCCUGACCAGCACAAGAAUCUUGCAUCAUUGAAGACAUUACGGGAGACGAAACUAUAUAAAUUUGAUUGUAUAUUAGAGGGCUAAAGUUGUGACAUCCUAGGAUUUAGAAUAGUCUUAUAUAUGAAAUACAUUAGGGAUAAAUUUCUUAGCCCGACUAUAGCAUUUUUGGCGGUGACUAGGCACAAGAGGUUACGAGGGUUAAGCGUGCUAGGACUAGAAUAGUUCUAGGAUGGGUGACUCACGCGUGAGUGAGGCGUCACAGUUGGUAUCAAAGCCAAUCACUAGCCGAAAAUGUGAGAUGAGUUCCGGCUGAGCUAAGGUCAUACAACGGUAGAGCACGACUCCUUGGCUGACCAGCGUUGUGGGUGUAGCGUGGCUCUCCACAAGAUCUGCUAAGGCUAUCGAGACGAGUCUUACAUCGCCUGGUGCCUGUGUGUGUGCUUGAGUCUAACGAGGACAUUAGAACUUAAAGGGGGAAAAAUGUGACACCCUAGGAUUUGGAAUAGUCUUAUGUAUGAGAUAUAAUAGGGCAAAACCGCUUAACUCGAUUAUAACAUUUUGGAUUGUGGCUAGUCUUAAGAGGCUAAGGGGGUUAAGCGUGCUUGGACUAGAAUAGUUCUAGGAUGGGUGACCCCUUUAGCUGGACGUCACGAAAGUAGUGACAAUUUAUAAAGUCCUUGAUAUUUUGAGGUGAUUGUGAAAUAGUUGCAUAAUCGUUCACCGGAUAAAAUGUCAAUUUCAAUGUCGGUUAUGAUUGCGUAAAUAGAUGCUAGAUCCUAUUCUGAUUGCUUGAUUUUGUAAUUGUAAUUGUACGGGAAGCAUUUGAAAUUUGUUAUCUCUUCCUCAGACAAAGAUUAUGAUGAUAUGGCAGUAUUUUUCUACGGCAAUUUCAAGUAUUGAUCAGCCUGGUCAUGAUUUGGUAAAUUUUGUCACAUUGUUUUGUACAAAAUGUAGCAUAUGGUGACACAAUUGAGGCUUUAAAGAAUUGGAAAAUUGUCUUGAUCUGUAGUGUUGAUACUAUCGCAUGCUCAUGAUAAUUGUUACUAUUUGCCUUAUCUUUAUCACCAUUUACUCAACAAAGACAAUGAAGUAAUUUUCCAAUUGAUCUUUUUUUUUUAAAAAAUAUUAUUUUCUUGUUUCUAGCAGUCCUAUUGUUAGAUAAGAGGAUAUUGGUAUUAUCUGUUGUAUAUGAGAUGUAGAGUUCGUUUCUUUUUUUCCUCCUUUCCUCUUGUAUGAGGAUGAAUGGGAAGAGUACCUAUGUGGACAAAUAGGUUCCUGUCACUUCACCUUUAUUACAAAUAGGUACACAUAUACUUAUGGUAUAUGUCGUAUGCAUAUAAAAUUCCUUGUUUAUUACCCUUUUACUUUUCAGGAUAAUGCUGUUUUGUAGUUUUUGCCAAAAUACAAUUUGUCAAUCAUGUUGAUCUUGAAGUUGCUUCUAUGGCGGCUAAUUUCUGACAGGCAAUUGUUUCAUUUCAUUUAUUGUUGUUAAUUUGUUAUCUCCAUGAGCAGUGGCAACAGUGUGAGGUCAUCUGAUUUUGGCAAUAAUGGUCUUUCUUGGUGGUUGGAGAAUUUUAGUUGGUCUAAGAGAACUAGAGAACUUUUUGAACUCUGCAAAUUGGCUUUUCAGAACUUUUAAAAUGUUUGAAGAAAAUGAAAAUUGUGGAUGGUUUGAUUUUUUUUCCGCGCGUUUCCACCAAUAAAAGGACCAGUAUAACCAGGUGGUGGAUGCUAUAGCAUUAUCCUUGGGUUUUUGGGCUUACCAGAGUACCUUUGGUUAAAAAGAUGGAGCAAACAAAGACUGUUACUGUACUUGUUAUAUACAGUCACUAGUCUCGUUUUUCCUGCCAUAGGAGGUAAGUAUUCUCAUAUUAUAUUAUGACAUUCUAUAUUUUGUCCUCACAAUAGUAUCUUUUACACUAUAGGAGGAAAAGUCGCUCUCCUUCUCCAAGUUGGCGUAAAAGCCGUUCUCUGACACCUAGGAGGCGUAAAAGCCGUUCGCCUUCGCCAAGACGAUACAGAAGGCGAAGAAGUAGGAGCAGCACGAACUCUCCUCUACCUAAUUCUCGGAGUCCUAGUCUUGGGUCCUCAGAGCGUAAAAAUGCUAUUGAGAAACAAAGGAAGGAAGAAGAAGAAAAGAAAAGGCUUUUACUGAAGGAAGGUACUGCUAUAGUUCCACUUGUUAUAUUUGAUGAUGCAAUUGGUGACACCUUUAUCUACUGUUGACCAGUUUGAAAACUCAUUUGUUUGGAUCUGGAAUCUUUAGAGAGGCGUCAAAAAGAAGCUGAAUUAAGAUUACUAGAAGAGGAAACUGCUAGGAGAAUUGAAGAAGCCAUUAGGAAGAGAGUUGAGGAGAGUUUGAACUCUGAGGAGAUCAAACUAGAGAUACAACAUCGAAUAGAGGAAGGCCGA